CAGCAGCCACGGUAAUACAGAGGGUGCAAGCGUUAAUCGGAAUUACUGGGCGUAAAGCGCGCGUAGGUGGUUUGUUAAGUUGGAUGUGAAAUCCCCGGGCUCAACCUGGGAACUGCAUCCAAAACUGGCAAGCUAGAGUAUGGUAGAGGGUGGUGGAAUUUCCUGUGUAGCGGUGAAAUGCGUAGAUAUAGGAAGGAACACCAGUGGCGAAGGCGACCACCUGGACUGAUACUGACACUGAGGUGCGAAAGCGUGGGGAGCAAACAGGAUUAGAUACCCGUGUAGUCCCUGUCUCUUAUAA
rnacentral:rRNA from 1 species